GCAGAGAUGAUUUUGGUAGAAUUCUUGUCUUCCAUGUAGGAGACCCAGGUUCAAUUCCUGGCCAGUGCA
rnacentral:tRNA from 1 species